CUACGGGACGCAGCAGUGGGGAAUAUUGCACAAUGGGCGCAAGCCUGAUGCAGCCAUGCCGCGUGUAUGAAGAAGGCCUUCGGGUUGUAAAGUACUUUCAGCGGGGAGGAAGGGAGUAAAGUUAAUACCUUUGCUCAUUGACGUUACCCGCAGAAGAAGCACCGGCUAACUCCGUGCCAGCAGCCGCGGUAAUACGGAGGGGUGCAAGCGUUAAUCGGAAUUACUGGGCGUAAAGCGCACGCAGGCGGUUUGUUAAGUCAGAUGUGAAAUCCCCGGGCUCAACCUGGGAACUGCAUCUGAGACUGGCAAGCUUGAGUCUCGUAGAGGGGGGUAGAAUUCCAGGUGUAGCGGUGAAAUGCGUAGAGAUCUGGAGGAAUACCGGUGGCGAAGGCGGCCCCCUGGACGAAGACUGACGCUCAGGUGCGAAAGCGUGGGGAGCAAACAGGAUUAGAUACCCGUGUAGUC
rnacentral:rRNA from 1 species